rnacentral:rRNA from 1 species
ACUCAAAGGAAUUGACGGGGACUUGCACAAGCAGUGGAUUAUGUGGUUUAAUUCGACGGUAAACGAAGAACCUCACCCGGGUUUGAAACCUAGUUGAAGACUAGCGGAAACAUUAGUCGUCUCACAAGGACAAUUAGGCAGGUGAUGCAUGGCCGUCGUCAGUUCGUGGUUUGAAUUGUUCCCUUAAGUGGGGUAACGAACGCAACCCUCGUUGGCUGUUACAAGUGUCAGCCGAGACUGCCCCAGAUUUUGAGUAUAAUUUUUCGAAAGGAAAAUUGUAACCAGGAUCUGGGGAGGAAGGCGAGGAUGACGCCAGGUCAGCAUGUCCCUCUGAUAUCCGGGGCUACACACAUAAUACAAUCGCCGAGACAACGCGACGCAAUAUCGUAAGAUGGAGCAAAUCGUAAUAAACUCGGCGCCAGUUCGGAUUGAGGUCUGCAACUCGACCUCAUGAAGCCGGAAUUGCUAGUAAUCGCAGGUCAGCUAUACUGCGGUGAAUACGUUCUCAAGUCUUGUACACACCGCCCGU